CGCGCCCGCCCGUGGGGGAGAACAGCCCCGCCGGCGCUCGCGCCCUUUGCGUCCACUCAGCACUACCUUUACUGACAAUUUUAGAAAGAUGCAGCUAGUAUCAGUUAGAAGAGUCGUGUGCAACAGUUUAUUUUUGCUGUUUGCUUUUUCAUGCCAGAAUAUUCCAUACUGUAGAAAAGCGCAGAAUGAGAGCGACUGUUCCCAUCCUCGAGCAACGCCCAGGCUAGAUGCGCUUCGGAUGAACUCCAGGACCCACCUGGUGUCAGCCUGUACCUAUUUCUAUGUGUUCUUAUGGAGCGACCUUAAAGGGAAACUUUGAAGGGGGAAGAUGGCCCUGGCUUCUUGAACAGAAAAUGUCAUUUUCUCUAAGUGCGAGUUCUUCCUGGUAUUUAUCAAUUUUAUAUAAACCCAACAAAAAAAUUAAGGUUUUAAAAAAUUUGAGUUACAUGUGCUGUCUUUUACUGUUGUGAUGAAACUUACAAAAGUUUUGUAAGGUAGACAGAAGCUUGCCUUCUGGAUAUCAAAAUGUGGUAUAAAUUUCCACUGACUAGUAAUUAGUUCACAACUGAAAAUACACAUAAAUAAAUGGAACAGUAUAGAAGAUGCCCAAAAAUCCAAAUGCAUCUGAAUUUACUGGUGAAAUAUUAUAAUGGUGAAAUACCAGCUAAUUGUGUUUGGAAGAAACUAACUAGAUUUUUUCAAUCUCAUAAAAAUAAGUUCUAGAUCAAAUAGAAAUUAAAAAUGUUAAAUAUACAAAAUGAGAAAAGCACCAGAAGGAAACACAAUGUGUAUUUGUUCAUUUUUUAUGUUGUCCAGGACCUUCCUAAGAAUGACUUCAAGAGGAAGAAGUUUGAUUCAGUAACAUAAAAAAAAUAAAGCUCUCUGUAUAUCAAAUCAUAUUAACCAAAUAAAAAUGUCUACAGCAUAUAUGUAUCAGAUGAAAAAUAUGUCUUCAUUUUAAAGAAUUCUUUGAAAUCAACAAGAAGGAAACUAAUGUGAAGAUUGGGCAGAUCUAUUUUUGCAUAUCUGGUCACAAGUGGACAUGGGAAAAAAUAUUUAGUGUCCCAGGACUGCUCUCCAUUUGGCCUGUGCCAAUGGCCAUCAAGAAGUGGUAACUCUCCUCGUAGAGAGAAAAUGCCAGCUUAACCUCUGUCAGUGAAAACAGGACAUCCAUGAUGAAGGCAGUACAAUGCCAGCAAGAGGAGUGUGCAGCCAUUCUGCUGGAGCAUGGCGCUGAUCCAGACCUCGUGGACACCGACGGCAACACUCCUCUGUACUAUGCUGUGUGGGGUCACAAUGCAGCCAUCGUAGCCAAGCUGCUGGGACACAACGCAGAUGUUGAAGCCAGAAACAAGGAUGACCUCACACCACUUUUACUUGCUUUAAGUGAAAACAAACAGCAAAUGGUAGAAUUGUUGGGAAGGAGGGAAGGAAAUAGACAUGCUGUAGAUAACAUUAUAAGCAAUCAUCAACUAAUUUCUCAAUAUGAAGUAGAAGAGACUUCAUUCUUCUCCAGCAAUUAGCAAUGCAGUGGAUGAGAGUUCUGAAGAAGAUUCUUUAAGCAGGCUUUCCAGCAAACCUGGCAUUGAUUCAUGGCCUACAUCAGACGAUGAAGACUUAGAACCAAGACUGUCCCGAAACUGAACUUUGCCAAGCUAAUGACUGCUUCUCAGCAAUGCAGGAAAAACAUACAAGCCAAAUGUGCCAUCAUGAGACCAGAAAGUAGAUGCUUAUUUGAAAAUAACAAUUCUGAGAGUGAAAAUGAAGAUGUAGUUGAAACCCUUUCUAAGCCAUCAAUGAAAGUCCAGGACUUUUCUCAUCCUGCCUUUCCAUCACCUGAGCCUCUCAAGUCUUUAGCAAUCCUGGAUCAUACAAAAGAAGAAGCAACAAAGCCAGCAGUUGGAAAUGAAGAAAAGGGUAAUGAUAUUAUUGAUAUUGCUCCACAAGAGCACAUAAAUAAUUACAAGUUGGCUUAUGUUGAUGGACCACACAAAAAUAAUAGAAGUGAUAUGAUGUCAGCAUUAGGAUUAGGAGAAGAGGAAGAUACAGAAUCACCUUGGGAUUCCGAGUAGUAAUCCUGGCUUGCCUAUGAAAGAAGCAAAGAAAAAUGAAAAUAACAAAUGGACAGUCAAAGCAUCUGUGACUAUAUCCAUGUUUGAGAAGGCUGGUUCCCUAACUGGUGGUGCGCUUCAAGUGAAUGAUGACAGCAGCUUAAGUGAAGUAGAUCAGAAUGAUGGAAGGUCAAGAAGCAAAUUAAUUCUGUGGAUAACCUGAAGAUAGUGAAUUACCUUACUCUAAUUAUAAGAAUUCUAUGUUGCUUAUUGAACAGCUUAGCAUAGAUUGUAAAGAUUCUGUGAGCUUAUUGAAAAUCCCGGAUGCACAUCUUUCAUAUGAAAAAAAAAUCAGUCACUUGCUUUCAGGAAAAAUUAAAAAAAAAUGAAAAAUAAGGUUAGUGGGCUACAAAAGGAGCUCUCAGAAACCAAAGAAAUGAAAUCCCAGUUAGAGCAUCAAAAAGUGGAAUGGAAACGGGAACUCUGCAGUUUGAGAAUGGAUGCACACCACUCUUAUAUGCUGCAAGGGAAAAAAAAACAAAAAAUAAUAGAGUUUUUGUUAAACAAGGGAGCGGAUAUAAAUGCUGUUGAUAACUUUGGAAGCUCAGCCCUCGCGCAUGCUGCAUGUUAUGAUUCAGCAGAUACUGUUCAUGUUCUCCUCCGGCAUGGCAUUGAUUGCUCUUCUGAAGAUGUAUUUGGAAGGGCUGCUGACCAGUUUGCCCAUCAUCGUGGCUUUAUUAAGAAUCAGAAAAUUAUACUUGCCUAUAAAAGUAAAAAGGACAAAGAGAACAAAAAGAAUGAAAAGAACAGAAAAGAAGAAAAGAAGAAAAACGAUAAAAAGAAGGAAGAGAAUGAUCUAGCAAAAAUGAAUGCUCACAAGGAUACUGAAAAGAGGCGUCCCAUGAAACUAAACUUUGAGGAUUCAUGUGCUACAUUAUCCGAAAGCAUAGAUUUUGAAACUAAGGUAAUGUGUGCUCUUGUGAAAUUUUCUGCUCUGAAUUUAGUUUCCAUUUUUUAUCUCUGUGUGGCGUUCAUUCAUGAAUUAUUGCCCCAAUGGUUUACUCUUUCUUUCUUGAAAGAAGCUGAAUUUAUUAAUUCAUUUUUUAAUGUUUACUGGGGUAAAUUUGAUUUAUAACACUGUAUAUAUUUUAGAGAUAUAGUUUCACACCUCAAAAAAUAUAAGUUAUACCACACCCACCAGUAAAGCCUCUAUAAUCCUGCACCAUAUUCACUGGGCCUCAUCUGCAUUUCACUUCCUUUCUGCCCCUCUGGUAGCCUGAGUUCUACAGCCACAGUUUAAGGGUUCAUUUUGGUUUGUUCUCUUACUUUGUUUCUUUAUUAAAUUCUACAGAUAAGUGAACUCAUCUAGUGUUAUCUUAUAAUCAUGAAAGAGAUCGAAAAAGAAUCAAAAUGAGAGAAAUUGUUAUAAAAACCUGACAGAUAUUGUGAGGUUGAGUGAGAGCAGGAAUUUUAUACCAUAAAAUUGGAUGAAAAUACUUUUUUAAAAAUGUAAAUUAAGAAAGCCAGGUAAUAAAAAACAAUGCUCAUGCUUUCCUGAAUUUCUUAAAAGUGAUUUUUAUGAGGAACUGAAAGAAAAUUAAUUUUUUUAUGCAAGUAACGGUUUCCAACAUUGUAUAUGAUUCAGGAGUACGGGUUCACGCCUCUCCAGAUGUAUGUUUCCACACCACACCAUCUAAAAUCCCAGCCGUCUAAAAUUACAAAAGACACAACACCAAGGCAUCCUCAGUCCUCCACCAGUCAGUGGUUCCCUUCCCCUUUGGUAGCCUCCUUUCUGAAGUCCAGUCUCCAGGGUUUGUUUUGGUUCAGUUUUAUCUUUUCCUUUGUUUUUUCUGUAGUCCACAUACCAGGGAAUCAAAUUGCUGGUAUUUGUUUUGUCUGUCACUUAUGUUGCUUAGCAUAAUUAAUCCAGUUCUACACGCACUUUCACUGAAAGAAAUCAACCCAUCCUUUUAAGUUUAGGUAAGUGGUAUCUGAUCUUUAAUGUAGCACUGCUGUAUUCGUUGGUAAUGCAAAGUGAAUUGUCUUUCAGGUCUCAACAGAUUUAUCUUGGGUUAUGAACUUUUGGCUCUUCUGUUUCUUCUGGUUUCUAGCUUAUCUUACAGUUUGUUAUACUUAAUUGAGGGAACUAUCUUCUCUUUGGGGUUGGUAUAGUCUUGGUGUAAAUGUUUUGAUCUUUUAGAAAAUAAAGAGAAGAA